rnacentral:rRNA from 1 species
UACGUAGGGGGCAAGCGUUGUCCGGAAUCAUUGGGCGUAAAGGGCGUGUAGGCGGCUCGGUAGGUCCGCUGUGAAAACUCGAGGCUCAACCUCGAGAUGUCGGCGGAAACCGCUUGGCUAGAGUCCGGAAGAGGAGAGUGGAAUUCCUGGUGUAGCGGUGAAAUGCGCAGAUAUCAGGAAGAACACCUAUGGCGAAGGCAGCUCUCUGGGACGGUACUGACGCUGAGACGCGAAAGCGUGGGGAGCGAACAGG